UCAAAGGAAGUAAUAAGUGUGUUUUACAUAAUUAUUUGUUCUUAUAAACUUGGAUAAUACUUGCAAAUUCGAAAGAUUUUCUAUCUAAUUUAGUGCUAAUAUUGUUUGACAAUAAGCAUAACCAUGACCCUUGAAACGACAAAGAAUAAAGUGAAGAACAUGAGAUAUUUCACAAAGAAAACUCUAAAGAAGCCGUUGAGAAAGAGAACAUAAUUGCACGAGAGAAAUGAGUGAGUGAAUGAAUGUUAUGCUAGGGUUUCCACUUAUUUAUAUAAGGAACCUGAUAAGAAAAUGAUAAGAAGAACUUUGGGAAAGAUAAAUUGAGGCUUAAAUGAUGAACUGUACUGGGAGAAUUUGCUUGAAUUCAAAUGAGUGAUUACAAUCGACUGGAAAUUAAAGAAAAAAAUUACAAGAUAUAUGAGCUAUUCGAGAGGCUCAUUCUCUCCUCAGGUUUGCUAGAUUCUUCUUGCCUUUUAUUGCUACGUUUCUUGCUUUUUAAGUUGCUGCUGAUCUUCUAGAAUUCUCUCAUUAACGGUUUGCACAUGCUGUUGGUUGUGGACAUUUAAAGCUCACGUGAUUUCUUAUUGCUACCCUGCUUUACCAUCCUUGCUGCCCCUGCCCUGACUCGCCUGGUUGUGUCUUGCAUAUGUCACUUUAAUUGGUAGUCUAUCAUUACUCCUCCCUUUAAGUUUCACCUUGUCCUCAAGGUGAAACGAGAGAAACUGUUGAUUGAUUAAGUCAUAGGGUUCCCAAGUUGCUUCCAAGGGAGGCAUUCCCUUCCAUUGAAUCAAAACGUCAUUGCCAUGGAUAUUAUCGCAGUACUUGGCCUUAUCUCGAGCACCGCCUCUGGUUCCACCAACAAUUCCAACUCCUCACUUAGUUGUGAGGGUAACUCCUCUACUACUUGAAACGCCUCUGUUGCCCGUCUUUGCUAGGACACAUGGAACACAGGUUGGAUGUGAGCUGUGGAGGUAGAUUAAGGCGGUAAGCCACCUGCCAUACCUUCUAUAUUGAUGAGUGUAAUUCAAUCAUUAAAUUAACGUCUCUAAAUCAAGUUUUUUGUUUGUUCUUGAGCACUUUUGAACGUUUUGACAUGUGUAUUCAUGUUGUUUUGUAGCUUAGACAACUUUUAAGAAAACACCACAUUGUGGAGUUGCGAUGAAGCCGUAAUGAAGAUCUUAAAAUUCGAGUAUGAAGUGAGGAGAAUCAAAGGAAAAGAACAUGGAAACGAAGUGUAAAAAUUGAAUAAAACAAGAAGAGAUAGCUUCAUGGAUGCCGUGACGCAAGAAUUGGGCGCCCAAGCGCCCAAGGAAAAUAACAAGAAUCAACAGAAAGAGCUGGCG
rnacentral:lncRNA from 1 species